GAGUUUGAUCGUGGCUCAGAUUGAACGCUGGCGGCAGGCUUAACACAUGCAAGUCGAGCGGGGGAGAUUGCUUCGGUAAUUGACCUAGCGGCGGACGGGUGAGUAAUACUUAGGAAUCUGCCUAUUAAUGGGGGACAACAUCUCGAAAGGGAUGCUAAUACCGCAUACGCCCUACGGGGAAAGCAGGGGAUCACUUGUGACCUUGCGUUAAUAGAUGAGCCUAAGUCGGAUUAGCUAGUUGGUGGGGUAAAGGCCUACCAAGGCGACGAUCUGUAGCGGGUCUGAGAGGAUGAUCCGCCACACUGGGACUGAGACACGGCCCAGACUCCUACGGGAGGCAGCAGUGGGGAAUAUUGGACAAUGGGGGAACCCUGAUCCAGCCAUGCCGCGUGUGUGAAGAAGGCCUUAUGGUUGUAAAGCACUUUAAGCGAGGAGGAGGCUCCUGUAGUUAAUACCUACAGAGAGUGGACGUUACUCGCAGAAUAAGCACCGGCUAACUCUGUGCCAGCAGCCG
rnacentral:rRNA from 1 species